rnacentral:tRNA from 2 species
GGGCGUUUGGCGCAGCUGGUAGCGCAUCUGAUCGACAUUCAGAAGGUCACUGGUUCGAACCCAGUAACGCCCACCA